GCACCUGAAAGAACUGGAGGAAAAGCAUUCAUUCUGUGGCCUUGAUGACUUCAGUGAGCCAAGAACUCGGGAUAGAAAAAGAAUUUAUGGAAUAAACUGAGUCCCUACGGCAACCCCAACCCCACUCAAACCAAAUUCAACAGCGAAACAAGCUACUCAAAGUCCAGAGACUGCAAACAGAAUUUAUGUAUAUUUGACAAUAGCUUUAAGGGGAAGCCUUUGGACGCACGGCUGGGUCCUGGCCAGCCCAAGCCGUAAGGACUCUGCAGGGACGAUGGGGAUUUUGUCAAACUUGGAACCACAUCCAUGUCCCAGCUCUGGCACCUUGAAGGCCCAAGGGGGCAGAGACCUGAAUGCCAGGAAACUAAGUGCAAUUACCAGAAACCAAGGGAUCGGCAGCCACCGCACUGUCUGGGGACAGGCCCGAGUCCUCGUCCCCACGCCAGAUGCCUCCCCAGUCCGCAGUGUGCAUGUCCAGCUGGACCCGGGUGGGUGCCGUCUCUGCCCUAUGUACAUAAAUCUCCACGAACCAUGCUGUGUUCGUCCUGGAGUUUGUCUGCCGGAGCGACUUGCAAGUGUCCUUGUAAUGUGAACCCCAGUUCAAGUCCUGGUCAGCAAAACCUCUGAAUCUGUGCACAGCUGGAUGUAGCAGCUGGCAGCCAGAGAGAGAGGGCAGGACCCUGAUGAGGGGCUGGAGCCUUGCCCAUCAUGGAGAAGCCGACCUCAGGGACCCCAGAUUUCUGAAGGGAGGCCGAGGGCUCUGUCACUCUUGUGGGUGUGACACGGCAAAAGUCCCAGAGCAUGACUGUCCCUGGGACCAGGUGGACUGAGGACUGAUAGAGCAGACAUGACCACCAACCAGGCCACACUUGGGCCUGCAUUGCACCUUGAUCGUAAUUUGCAAGGGGCUGCCAAGGAAGAGAUGCUGAAGCACCUGCAGGAACUAGGUUAUUUCCAUAGUGGUCCUGAGACCAGGUCCUGCUCUCACCACCGCGGGGAGGAAGUGAGAUCUUCCUGCCUUGGGAGGCCACCCCUGGAUGGAGCCGGGAGAGCUGUCAGGGUGUUGGAGGCCUCGCUGGAGAGUGGAUGGAGUGGAGCAGCCACAGAGAGCUGGACGCCAGCUGGGGAUGGUCAGCCCAGGAGGAAAUUCCCCAAGUUCCUUUCUGAUGAUGUUCCUGUUGUUAUUCUAGGCUGGGUGGGGUGGAGUCAUCUCCAGAAGAAGCCACCUGCUCACAGGAUGCCUCUCCCAAACUUCUGCGCGGGAAGACGUUUGGAAUUAGAAUAGAUGAAGUGGAGUAGAAGACCGAAUGUGACGAGGAGGCUGGCUGUGUCUGCAUGGGAAGAGCCGGCUGAAGGCCAGGCCGGGCCAUCCUCAGCUGGCUGCAGGUGGACGGGCUCAGGCCCUGCUCAUCAGGUAGAAGGAACGGUUCUGUGGUCUCUGGUGAGGAGGACCUUUGGACAAAAGGGAAAGGACUGAAAUGUAGGCAGUUGAGGGAACUCAUGGGGUGAGGGCAACAGAGGAGCUAGAAGUUCUCAGAAGGCCACAUCCAUGGAUGGAGAAGGACACGGUGCCCUGCACAGAAGGGGCCCUGCCAGCCGGGGAGGGCUGCUCACACCACAUCCCAGGAUCCAUCUCUAAGCAGACAUGCACCGGGAUGGCCCAGUAUUACCCAUUCUCUUUUGAAAUCAAAACCCCAAAGCACCCACUGGCUCAGCCUCUGUGACUUACCAACACCUGGUGAUGAAAUAUGAACAAACUGAUGUCGGUUGAAAACACAGGCAUCCUAGCAGCCCAGGGGCGAUGGGAGUGUGGGGUCGCACAGUGAGUGAAAACAAAGGCACGCUUACUCUUUCCAGCCGGGAAGCACAGGAGGCGUUGCUGUGCUAGCUUCUGCGGGCAGAAGUCUAGGGGCACCCAUGGGUCUCUGGAAUGUCGGUCCAGCACCCUUGCAGCUGCUGCAGGAGUGCGGUCCUCAUACCUGCUUGUCCCCGUCCUUCAGUGGGUGAAGGGCAGUGUCUGUGUCUGCUGGGCUCUCCCACUCAGAUCAUGUGACCAAAAUGGCCUUGGCUUUGAAGUCAGACCCAUUUGUCCCUGCCAGCCCGGCCUCUUCCUGCUGUAUUGCACUGGCAAUGUCCUUGCCGCUCUGAGGAAUGGUAGUGAUAGUUCCCAUGCGUGGCCUUGGGAGAGGUCUGAGCUGGACGGUUAGACCCGCAGGCUCCCGCAGGCCACCGUGGCUGCUGGUGGGAGACAUAGCAUCUGCUGUUCUCUCCUUGGGAGCUGUCCUCGGAGGAGUCCAUAUGGCCGGCCCGG
rnacentral:lncRNA from 1 species